CCUACGGGAGGCAGCAGUGAGGAAUAUUGGUCAAUGGGCGGAAGCCUGAACCAGCCAAGUAGCGUGCAGGAUGACGGCCCUACGGGUUGUAAACUGCUGUUAUACGGGAAUAACGCGCCUUACGUGUAGGGCUUUGCAUGUACCGUAUGAAUAAGGACCGGCUAAUUCCGUGCCAGCAGCCGCGGUAAUACGGAAGGUCCGGGCGUUAUCCGGAUUUAUUGGGUUUAAAGGGAGCGUAGGCCGCAUGUCAAGCGUGCUGUGAAAUGUCCGGGCUCACCCCGGGCCUUGCAGCGCGAACUGGCGUGCUUGAGUCCGCGGCACGCAGGCGUACUUCGUCGUGUAGCGGUGAACUGCUUAGAUAUGACG
rnacentral:rRNA from 1 species